rnacentral:rRNA from 1 species
CUGGCUCAGAACGAACGCUGGCGCGUGCUUAACACAUGCAAGUCGAAACGCGAAAGGGACUUCGGUCCUGAGUAAAAGUGGCGCACGGGUGAGUAACGCGUAGAUAACCUGUCUUCAUGUCUGGAAUAAUACGCCAAAGGGGUACUAAUACCGGAUAUUCUUGCUUUUCACAAGUUAUGCAAGCAAAGGUGGCCUCUGCAUAUGCUACUGCAUGAAGAGGGGUCUGCGUACCAUUAGCUAGUAGGUGGGGUAAUGGCCUACCUAGGCGACGAUGGUUAGCGGGUCUGAGAGGAUGAUCCGCCACACUGGCACUGGAACACGGGCCAGACUCCUACGGGAGGCAGCAGUGAGGAAUAUUGCGCAAUGGGGGAAACCCUGACGCAGCGACGCCGCGUGAGUGAGGAAGGCCUUCGGGUCGUAAAGCUCUGUCAAGAGGAAAGAAGUGUACAAUGGCUAAUACCUGUUGUAUUUGACGGUACCUCUAAAGGAAGCACCGGCUAACUCCGUGCCAGCCGCCGC